UUCUUUGCGCAGUGGCAGUAUCGUAGCCAAUGAGGUUUAUCCGAGGCGUGAUUAUUGCUAAUUGAAAACUUUUCCCAAACUUCAGUGACUUUCAGGUAAAAUUUUAUUAUAAUUUCUUUGAUAAUCUGCAAUGGU